AGAUAGGUCCAUCAAUGGCUACCACAAGGUGUGCAGGUAAGGUGUCCCUAGCCUAUCUUAAAAGGCUGUGUUUGGAUGGGACAUCAGUCUUUCUGGGCUCAGUUCAUAGCAAAGAUGCUCCUGAAGUGAUGAACAGGAAUGAAGACAAAGAUGGAGGAAUCCCAGGGGCCGUCUUUAUACACUUGCCCAUGAGGAAGGAAUUCCAUUGCUCUCACUUGAUAUAUAUCAUGCCAAUUCUUUUCCAGAAUAUGAUCUGAGGAAGUGGGUCUGGCCUACGAACCCCAUCACCUAAUAAACCAUCUUGUUAGUCUUUAAAGUGCUAUAUAGUUUUUCCUUUUGUUUUAGCAAGAUCAGACUAACACGGCUACCUCUCUAUUACUAUCCCAAAUUGGAGUUUGUUACUUGAGCAAGUCACCUGUCCAUGCAUGAGUCAGUUCUUUUUAAGCAAGCAGCUCUGGCUUACUUACUGGUCUUCAGAUGUGGAUUGGCACCACUUGAGGUGCAUUGUCAGUGAAGUACUGCUAUUUAUUUGACUAGCAGCCUCUGUAGGUAGGCGAAGCCUGCUGAUAAUCUCCCAGAAGCAAACAUGUGAAGUACAAGUACAUAACCAUUCACAUCCCAAAUGAGUAUUGGCUAACUGGUAGGGGCUGGAGCAGCUCCCCACCCACCACAGGCAGGGAGCUGCUAUAGCCUUGCAGGGCCCACCACAUGGACCAGCUGCUCCAGCCAGCCAGAACUGUCCCUGUCUGUGGCAGGCCUAGUCCAGGUGGCAUGCCACAGGCAGGAGCUGCUCUGACUUGCCGGAGCAACCUUUGUGCAUGGUGGAUGGGCCACUCCAGCUGGAGGGUGCUCCUGGUUGCUCCCCCCCUUCAAUUAGGUAACUGGUUAAACAUGUUUAGCCAGUUAACCAAUUAAGUGGGAUUUGACAUCCCUAACACUCAUAACUUCAAAUGCAAAAAAUGAUACAUGCAUGAGUGGUAUAAACAGAAUCAUCGAAUCAUAAGUCUCUAGUCAUCCCACUUAGACCAUUUGGCUCAAGAGUUGGUGCAAACAUAUCCCAGUGGUUGCAACAAUGUUUGUAUGUUCACAUGAGAAUUCAGUGUCACACCCUGUCCCAGCAGCUUUCAAAGAUGGAGACAUACUAUUUUCUGAUUUAGAAAAUACAUGUCAGGUUUGUCUUUCCUUUGACAGUGCCAGCACCAUGUGCUGGUGGGGAUGAGCAGACAGGAUAAUCAUGUCAGUUUCCAACUGCAGGCAGGAUUGUGUCAUUUGUGCCCCUCUCCACUGGGAUUUGCACUAUGGCAUUACAAGCAUGGCCUCUUCAAUGAGCACAGAGAAUGGCCUCCCUGGGACUACUAGCAGCCCUUGUGAAAAAUCACCACUCAGUAUUUGAGGGAGGAAAUGGUUCAACCAACCAAUGGGCCAGUCAUUUCUGCUUGUCUCUUAUGGGAAGUGAAAUGAGGAAAGCAGAAGUUCAUUGUUCUCCAGCAAGACAAUAAUCCUAUUGAGAGCUGUGGAACAAGGUACUGUAAAGCUGCGAGUCUCACUGAAUCAGAGGGGUUUGUGCGCAAUGAGCCUCCAGGCAACUUUCAGGAAUAAAAGUAAGAUGAAUCUGUGUUCACAUGCUAUUAGUCUGCGGUAGAUUUCUUUCUGAUGGUGUUAUAUUCCCUGAGAACAUCAGGUCUGACCUGAACUGUGUCAUCAGAACCUCCCAUUCUGUGUUAUCAGAACCUCCACCAACUUCUGCAGGGUCAGUCGGGCACACUGGACUACCAAGACGCCCACCAAUCCCACUGGGAACAGACAGUGAUCUGCCACUCCCAGGAUUGAACCUAACCACUCCAAGCUGACGAUGAACCAAUGCUGCAUCCAAGCUUCCAACCAAGACAGUUCCAGUGGAUUCUGAAGUUAGGCAAAACUAGGUUAACCCUUUCUACAUCCUGCCUGGAGAAGGGCUCUUUUUACACACAUACAAGGAUUCUGCCGAAAGUUUUAUUUCCUUUGAAAACAAUGACGACAUAUUGAGGAAUUGGAGCUAUAAACAGAAUACCAAAUAUCAUGAGGCUAUCAAUGAAAAUCAUGAAAGCUGACAACCCGGCUAUUGGCGGAGUGAGGACUACUCGAUGUGAUUACAGGGAAGAAUAUACAUAGAUAUACAGCCCUGGAAUUCUGGCUGGUUAAACAACAUGAAUUUUUGCCAUCCAGUGUCACUACUGGUGGCAGUGUCAAAAUGCAGCACUUAACAGUGACAUCUACUUCCUCAGCAAAUGCAAGAAAAAAAACCAUAAUCUUUAGAGGACUUACCAUCUAUAACCCUCUGACUACCACAUACAACUCCAAAUCACCUUGGAUGGGCUCUUGCAAUGUUUGUUAACUUCUUUUGCUUAACAAUUUGUUCCAUCUUGUAUUUAUCUCUGAUGGUUACAUUUCCCAGACUUGAAGAAGAGCUCUGUGUAAGCUCGAAAUUUGUCUCUUUCACCAGCAGAAGGUAGUCCAAUAAAAGACAUGAACUCACCCACAUGCUAUUGAAAUUCAGUGGAAGUUGAGUGCCUAACUCCCUUAGGCUCCUUGGAAAAUAUUAGAAUCUU